rnacentral:rRNA from 1 species
AAAUCAAGGAUUCCCCUAGUAACUGCGAGUGAAGCGGGAAAAGCUCAAAUUUAAAAUCUGGUGGUCUUUGGCCAUCCGAGUUGUAAUUUAGAGAAGCGUCUUCCGCGCUGGACCAUGCACAAGUCUCCUGGAAUGGAGCGUCAUAGAGGGUGAGAAUCCCGUCUUUGGCAUGGACCCCCAGGGCUUCUGUGAUGCGCUCUCAAAGAGUCGAGUUGUUUGGGAAUGCAGCUCAAAAUGGGUGGUGAACUCCAUCUAAAGCUAAAUAUUGGCGAGAGACCGAUAGCGAACAAGUACCGUGAGGGAAAGAUGAAAAGCACUUUGGAAAGAGAGUGAAACAGUACGUGAAAUUGUUGAAAGGGAAACGCUUGAAGUCAGUCGCGUCGACCGAGACUCAGCCUUGCCUNGGCUUGGUGUACUUCUCGGCUGACGGGUCAGCAUCAAUUUUGAUCCUUGGAUAAUGGCAAGGGAAAGGUGGCACCUUUACAGGUGUGUUAUAGUCCUCUGUCGGAUGCAAGGGUUGGGAUUGAGGAACUCAGCACGCACCUCAUCGGUGUCGGGGCGUUAGCCUACGUUACGUGCUUANGAUGCCGGGCAAAAGGCUUUAAACGAACCGUCUUGAAACACGGACCAAGGAGUCCAACAAGCACGCGAGUGUUCGGGUGGAAAACCGUUGCGCGUAAAGAAAGUAAAAGUUGGGACCUCUGUCGUGGAGGGCACCGACGCCCGGACCAGACCUUCUGUGACGGCUCUGCGGUAGAGCGUGUAUGUUGGGACCCGAAAGAUGGUGGACUAUGCCUGAAUAAG